rnacentral:tRNA from 1 species
GGGGCCGUAGUUUAGCUUGGGAGAAUGCUGGCUUCGGGAGCCAGUGGUCCGGGGUUCAAAUCCCCGCGGCCCCA